CAUAGCGUAGUCGGUUAACGCGCCAGAUUGUGGAUCUGGAGACCGAGGGUUCGAGUCCCUCUG
rnacentral:tRNA from 1 species